rnacentral:lncRNA from 1 species
AUGAAAACAGAGCAACUACUUCACGUGGCUGAGCCAUGCGUUGUGAAAGGCUUCUGCUGGCAGAGAGGACAACUGCGAGCAUGCUCAUGUGGGAAGAGCAAGCUCUGGGGGAGAAGGCCACAAGGCUGGCUUAGUCAGAGCUGUACAUGGCUCAGAUUAGUGAAACCUACUUCUGAAGUAUCAGGAUGGGCUCCAGAAAAGACAUCUGGAGAAGCUUUUGGUCUGGAGCUUAGUGUAAUCCAAAGAGAACCACCCACAGCUCUCACACGUAACUGCAAGCCAUCCACCCAACCUCCACAUCCUCAAGCAAGGAUCUGAAGCAGCUCAGCUGGGUACUGCUGAAGGUAGGCAGGUUCAGAAAGGAACACAAUGACCUUCAGUUAUGCUGCCCCCCACUUAGUUCCUUUCAAAGGCUGAGCAAACUUCACCCCCGUGGGACGAAAUUACGCUGUGACAGAUGUGAACAGGCUGAUGGCAGAUUGUUAUUUCAGGUGAUGGGAGUGCACACACUGGUUAAUGCUAUCUGUAAUGUAUGUAUCGAUCCUGGAAAUGUGGGACCAGAUGAGUCCCAUAUCCUCCUGUUGCCAUGGAGAUUCCUUCUGGGAAAUAGGCAUUUAUUUCUUCUUCUUGAAUCAGUCACAUUGCUGCCUGCAAUUAAGAUGAUUAGUGAUAUGUGGGCCCUUGUUUCCGUUAAGAGGAAAAAGCUGACUACACAAUCCAGCUAUCUUUCCAGUGCACUACAGUUUACGAACAGGUAACACCCUCAGUCCUGUGGCCCUGCAAACAAAUGGAACAAGCAGAAAGAGAAAGAGUUUUGAUUGUCUCAACCCUGUCCAAAGGCAGGGGUAUUUAAUGGCCCCCUUGUUUCAAGCUGAAGAGGUGCAGUGCCACAGCUCCCCCCACAGCGGAGAAGCGUUUGCCUGGGGUCAGUGACUCUUCCUGGCAUCUGUUGGAGGAUCCCAGCAUGACUGCAUACUCAUACAGCUAUUCCUUAAGGGUCUUAAUUCAAGACAUGCAUGAGCAAAAGUAAGAAAAUGUCUGAAUGCCCGACAUGCCUGAAAUUACGAAUAGUAUCUCCAUUUCAGAAAUGUUCAGAAAUAUUUGGCUGACAGAUCCCUGGGCAUGAUCAAUUUUGAAAUUCAUCCCCUUCUAAUCCAUGAACCAGACAGGAUUUUGAUGGCAUGCAGUUUUGAAAGGCGAGGAGUUAAAGGUGGAGAAAGGCCUGAAGGCUAUGUGACAGCCCUUGUGCAGAGAGCAGGGGGUAAAGGUAAAUGCAGCGGGGCACUCUGUGAGAGGAGGGAAAGGCAGAACUGGAGUUGUAGGAAAACAAAUUGAGGGCCGUGAAGAGCCCCUAGCAUGGUGCAGAGACAGGAAUGGGGGCACACACAGAGGAGAGCAGUGUCAUCAUCAGGGCAUAACAGGGUGCACCCACAUUAUCCCUGGCACGGUGUGGGCAGUGAAGGGGUCACAGAUGUCCAGAAAAGGCAAGAGAAGAACUCACAGUGGAUGUGUGGGAAGGACAGAAAGGAGCUACAGGAACACGUAACCUACACGUAGGAGUACACAAGGCUCACUGGUUUUUAGGGGUUUUGAGCUGUUGAGGUGGAGUUUGAAUGUACAAGCUUCAGAGGGCCACAUCUGUAAAAUACAAUACCAGUGUUACAAGGGGUGUUAUCUGAGAACUUUUAACAGGAGAAUUCCCACAUGUCAGAUUUUAAAUGUUUUAUGUUGUUCCAAAUGUCACGGUUCUGUCACAGGCAAUCACAGAAGAUGCAAGACCUGUAGCUCUGAUCUGUAGCAUGGAUCCCGUAUUAACUAGACUAUUUUUCUUGGGAGUUUUUUAUCAGCAGUUGAAGAGUGCUUUUCAAAAGCCACUGGGACACGGUCCUUGGCAACCUGCUGUAGGUGUCCCUGCUUGAACAAGGGGUUGGACCAGAUGAUCUCCAGAGGUCCUGUAAACCUCACCCAUUCUGUGAUUGUCAGAAAAAUAAAUGAACUGUGAUGGUUGUGUAAA